AGGACCAGCCUGGUGCUGCAUUUAAGGAAAGUCAGAGAAAAAGUAGAGAGGAUGACAGAAAGCGCGCUCAGGGUGAUAUUUAUAUAUAUUUUUCCUUAGUGAUGCAUAAAUUUGAAAGUGAAAGAAAAUGUCUCUGAUGGUGCAAGUGAGCGGCUCGCAAAUGAUGACUAAAUUAAAAUAAAAAAAAAAGUAAAUGUGCAAAAGUUGCGCCUGACCGCCAGUGAUUUGGGGUGUUCAUCGAAGACUUUCUGAUGAAGGGAAGGAUGAAGAUAGACAGUUUGGCCUCAGAGCUUCUCCAGCCUGUCGUGAAGAACCGUGCAGCUAACAGGGAAAUAAGACACUCUUUCCUCACUGAGUCAUCCAUCCUCUUGCAUCAAGCACAGCUCCGCACCCAGAGCCACUAACACCCUCAUCUCAUGUCACGCAGGGUGAAGACAGGGGCUGUGGCAGCUUGGUGGCCACUGCUGGGGUCUCAUGAUCCGGAGGCUGCACGUUCAAAUCCAGGUUGCGUCAGGAAGGGCUUCUGGUGUAAAACGAUUGCCAAAUCCUAUGUGGCAACCCCCUGUGGAGGAAAGCAUGGCAACAACAACAUUUGCAGGGUGAAGACUUAAACUGGAGAUGCAGUUUGACCACAAGAGGAUGGUUUCCACCACAUUCAGUCAUCCUGACAAGUGGAGGGGAAAACACCUCAGCACAACUUGUCUGCUGCUGAGCCGGUUUGUGUCCACGACAACAUCAACAUCAUGAGAUGAGGAGAGUUGCAACCACAGGCAGCGGCGGAGGAGGUGGUGCUGUGUGUCGUGGUUAGCAGCUGCACGGUGCCUGGUAAACUAAACUGUGCUGUGGAUGGAAAAGCCUCAGGGGAAUAAUGAGCUCAAACACCAGGAGGAAGAAUAAAGUUAAGAGGUGCAAGGUGGGGGCAAGAGGCAGGAUUUUUAUCCACGUUACAUCAGAUGACCAUAAAAACACCAGCUGGAGAUAAAUGUGGUUGUUUAUUUUUACAGAUGCUGAAGUUUCUGGCUUAAUAAACAGGUUCUUAGUCCUUUA